AUCCAGGUGACGAGUCCCAAAUAGGACAAUAUGCACAUCCUGGAU
rnacentral:hammerhead_ribozyme from 1 species